rnacentral:rRNA from 1 species
UCGGGAAUUUUGGGCAAUGGGCGAAAGCCUGACCCAGCAACGCCGCGUGAGGGAUGAAGUAUUUCGGUAUGUAAACCUCGAAAGAAUGGGAAGAAUAAAUGACGGUACCAUUUAUAAGCUCCGGCUAACUACGUGCCAGCAGCCGCAGUAAUACGUAGGGAGCAAGCGUUGUUCGGAUUUACUGGGCGUAAAGGGCGCGUAGGCGGCGCGGUAAGUCACUUGUGAAAUCUCUGAGCUUAACUCAGAACGGCCAAGUGAUACUGCUGUGCUAGAGUGCGGAAGAGGCAACCGGAAUUCUUGGUGUAGCGGUGAAAUGCGUAGAUAUCAAGAGGAACACCUGAGGCGAAGGCGGGUUGCUGGGCCGACACUGACGCUGAUGCGCGAAAGCCAGGGGAGCAAACG